CCUACGGGUGGCAGCAGUGAGGAAUAUUGGUCAAUGGACGAGAGUCUGAACCAGCCAAGUAGCGUGAAGGAUGACUGCCCGAGGGGGUGUAAACUUCUUGUAUAGGGGAAUAAAAUGUACCACGUGUGGGAUUUUGUAUGUACCAUAUGAAUAAGGAUCGGCUAACUCCGUGCCAGCAGCCGCGGUAAUACGGAGGAUCCGAGCGUUAUCCGGAUUUAUUGGGUUUAAAGGGAGCGUAGGUGGAUUGUUAAGUCAGUUGUGAAAGUUUGCGGCUCAACCGUAAAAUUGCAGUUGAAACUGGCAGUCUUUCGUCCAGUAGAGGUGGGCGGCAUUCGUGGUGUAGCGGUGAACUGCUUAGCUCUCAC
rnacentral:rRNA from 1 species